rnacentral:lncRNA from 1 species
CGUAGCUUCUUAUAAAUAUGUAUAUAUAUAUUUUUAUAUUUCUUUAUUUAGAUCUAUAUUUUGUAUUAUUUUAAAAGAUAGACAAUGCAAUCUUCGUUGACGUUUACGUGUAGAGUGCUUUCUUUCACGUUCGCACUUUGAACAAUCGAGUAUGGCGUGCCAAAUAAACAUUUUGAAAAGAUAAUUAUUACGGAUCAAUAACAUACAUUAUGUAUUCAGACGACAUAAGACACCAUGUGACAAUUUUAAGAGAAACAGAGCUGCUUUUUUCUCACAUCUACAAUGGAAAAAAACAAACAAACAAAAAAACGACAAACCAAAUAUUUUUAAAUCAAUACGAAAGCCAGUAAAUAAUUUGAAUCCGUUUUCAAUAAUCAAGAUAUAUGUAACUUUAAUAUGAAUAUAAAUCUGAUACAGAAUUUAAUAUGUUUAAAACGAUUUAAAAAUUAUGCAAGUAGUCAUAAAAAUUGCUCUGCAUAAUGAGUUUAAUAUCAUAUUGCACAGGAAGAGAAAAUAAAAGUACGACGUCGUGUGAGAAGGUAUGGCGUAUAUAUUUAAUGUCCAUUAUAGUUAUUAACAACACCUUGUACAAAUAUUAUUUUCGAAAAUAAAACAGUUUAAUAAAACAAACAAAACUAUCCAAUUCGAUGAGGGUCAUGAAAAGGGGAGUAGCGGAUCGAAAGAUGUUCUUUUUUUCUCUAUUCAGUAAGAAAUAUUUUCUGUAAAAUUCUUAUCGUGCAUAUGCAUAUGGAAAUUUCCUUCUGUAUCAUGAUUUUGACAUGAUAAAUGAUUUGUCUGGAUCAACGACAUAUGUAUGACAACAAUACCCCCCCCCCCCCCGAAUCUGUCACUGUACUACUGUAUUGCACAAAUGAUACAUUCCUGAAUAUCAAGAUUUUAACUGAUAUCUGUUUAAAACCAAACAGGGAGGGGGAUUUUUUUUUCUUUCUUUGUAAAACUUUUGAUAUCUAAGAUAAUGAAUAGUAGAUAGGAUGACAUAACAUGUGGGUAUAUUUGAUUUAUACAUGUAUUUGGUUUAGUAGAUAUGAGGUACCGGUACUGUAAUCUAAAUGAUGUACCAGUAGUAAAUUGUAAAAAUAGAUUUCAGAGAGAAAAGACAUUGAUAGGCCCAACUGUCCAACAAAAUAUAAAAAAUUGCCUAAAAUUCAUCUAUUUUGGAGCAUAUAUUUAAAAUUUAUUGGAAGUGAACAAAAAAAAAAAAAAAAAAAAAAAAAUCGAAAACAAUGUUACAUUAAUUAUCCGUCCUCGAGUAUCAGUCAAACAGCCCUUACCAAAAAAUAUUGUAUUAAAUUGCAAUGAAUUAUGGAUCUUACAAAACUGGAACAUAAGACGUAGUAAGCAUGCUGGCGAACGUGAGAUCAGACUUUUUUUAUUCUGUAAUUCUAUUUCAAAGUCAUAAUAAACAGGUGACCGGUGAAAUAUAAUGGUAUUCCAAUUCUUGAACCAAUGCAUACAAACAUCAUAAACUAAGUCUCUCUGCACGAUUUUAUCAUUUUUUUUUUGCAUAAAUUUUGUAUAAACGUCAUUUUUUUUUCAAUCGGUCAGUGAAAAUAAGGCAGGUAUUAAAGUUCGUGUUUUUAAGCCGAAAUUUUACGAUUGUCACCUGUUUGUCAACAAUCCACCAAAAAGCAUGGAUAUUGAGCACGUGUUUAACAUGUACAAUCAGAUAAUAGUUUAUUUUAAGGACAUCCAUGCGUAUUGUGAUCACCAGAUUUUUACGAGAUGGGUCACACGGAG